UUGAACGCUGGCGGCAGGCCUAACCCCUGCCAGUCGAACGGUAACAGGAAGAAGCUUGCUUCUUUGCUGACGAGUGGCGGACGGGUGAGUAAUGUCUGGGAAACUGCCUGAUGGAGGGGGAUAACUACUGGAAACGGUAGCUAAUACCGCAUAACGUCGCAAGACCAAAGAGGGGGACCUUCGGGCCUCUUGCCAUCGGAUGUGCCCAGAUGGGAUUAGCUAGUAGGUGGGGUAACGGCUCACCUAGGCGACGAUCCCUAGCUGGUCUGAGAGGAUGACCAGCCACACUGGAACUGAGACACGGUCCAGACUCCUACGGGAGGCAGCAGUGGGGAAUAUUGCACAAUGGGCGCAAGCCUGAUGCAGCCAUGCCGCGUGUAUGAAGAAGGCCUUCGGGUUGUAAAGUACUUUCAGCGGGGAGGAAGGGAGUAAAGUUAAUACCUUUGCUCAUUGACGUUACCCGCAGAAGAAGCACCGGCUAACUCCGUG
rnacentral:rRNA from 1 species